GGAGGGAGGAAGAGAGAUUGGGAGGGAGGAAGAGAGAUUGGGAGGGAGGAAGAGAGAUUAUGAGACACUAGAGUGGGUGGAGGAUACUGGAGGCUGGGAACGGCCCACGGAAGAGGUCGGUCUUUGUGCAGUUAUAAACUUCAACAAGGUAGAGAUCGUGUCCAUCUUGUUCACAGCCGAAGUUGCAGCACCUAGCACAGUGCCUGGCACAUGUUGUGGAACUUGGCGCUCAGAGAGAGUCCUGAUGUGCCAGAGACCACACAGACAAGCAGUCCAGGGUUGGGACUGGUGCCAGCCAGGUAGGCUCCUCUGAAAAGCCCAGUCUCUUUAGGAGCUGAUUGCCCCCAAGCUGAGAUUCAGCUGGACCAUGAAUGAACCGUGUGACCUUUGGCAAGUCUUGGCUUCUCAACUGUGAACCGGAGCUGAUAAUGCCCACUUGUGUCUCAUGUGCCCUGAACAAUGCCUGGCACUU
rnacentral:lncRNA from 1 species